rnacentral:rRNA from 1 species
UACGGAGGGUGCAAGCGUUAUCCGGAUUUACUGGGUUUAAAGGGUGUGUAGGUGGACAGUAAAGUCAGUGGUGAAAUCUUCCAGCUUAACUCGGAAACUGCCAUUGAUACUAUUUGUCUUGAAUACUUUGGAGGUAAGCGGAAUAUGUCAUGUAGCGGUGAAAUGCUUAGAUAUGGCAUAGAACACCAAUUGCGAAGGCAGCUUACUACGCAUUUAUUGACGCUGAGGCACGAAAGCGUGGGGAUCAAACAGG